CCUACGGGUGGCAGCAGUGGGGAAUAUUGGACAAUGGGGGGAACCCUGAUCCUGCCAUGCCGCGUGUGUGAAGAAGGCCCUCGGGUUGUAAAGCACUUUCAGUGAGGAAGAACGCCUGGUGGUUAAUACCCAUCAGGAAAGACAUCACUCACAGAAGAAGCACCGGCUAACUCCGUGCCAGCAGCCGCGGUAAUACGGAGGGUGCGAGCGUUAAUCGGAAUUACUGGGCGUAAAGCGCGCGUAGGUGGCUUGAUAAGCCGGUUGUGAAAGCCCCGGGCUCAACCUGGGAACGGCAUCCGGAACUGUCAAGCUAGAGUGCAGGAGAGGAAGGUAGAAUUCCCGGUGUAGCGGUGAAAUGCGUAGAGAUCGGGAGGAAUACCAGUGGCGAAGGCGGCCUUCUGGACUGACACUGACACUGAGGUGCGAAAGCGUGGGUAGCAAACAGGAUUAGAUACCCCUGUAGUC
rnacentral:rRNA from 1 species